GAUGAACGCUGGCGGCGUGCCUAAUACAUGCAAGUCGAGCGAACAGACGAGGAGCUUGCUCCUCUGACGUUAGCGGCGGACGGGUGAGUAACACGUGGAUAACCUACCUAUCAGACUGGGAUAACUUCGGGAAACCGGCGCUAACACCGGAUAAUAUAUUGCACCGCAUGGUUCAAUAGUGAAAGACGGCUUUGCUGUCACUUCUAGAUGGAUCCGCGCCGCAUUAGCUAGUUGGUAAGGUAACGGCUUACCAAGGCAACGAUGCGUAGCCGACCUGAGAGGGUGAUCGGCCACACUGGAACUGAGACACGGUCCAGGCUCCUACGGGAGGCAGCAGUAGGGAAUCGUCCGCAAUGGGCGAAAGCCUGACGGAGCAACGGCGCGUGAGUGAUGGAGGUCUUCGGUUCGUAAAACUCUGUUAUUAGGGAAAAACAGAUGUGUAAGUAGCUAUACACGUCUUGACGGUACCGGAUCAGGAAGCCACGGCUAACUACGUG
rnacentral:rRNA from 1 species